rnacentral:snRNA from 1 species
UCUGUUCUAAUCAGUGUGAAAACUGGUUUCUGACGUUUUUCGUUGGUCUUUUUCACAUUCAUUUUUGGAACUUCCGAGAAUGCUAGCUUGCUAGGUUUUCUUGGAACGGUCUCCGGGGGCUUUCACUAUCUCCCCCGCGAGGCCA